GUAUAUAACCCUGCAUCACCUGAGGUUUUCCCACUACAUUGGCUGGAUAUGAUGAAGAAAAAGCUUCAAAGUCAUGAAAACUAGGGAGACACAGCAUCACACCUGAAUUUUUAUCAUAAUUGGUUGGUCAUCUGAAAUGGGCCCAGCAGCUGAUGAACCGUGCCAGGGUUUAGUUCUUCAGCACUGGAUGGUGCAGGAAUCCAAAGGCCUGAAUCCAAGUCUGGUUUGAACAGGUUCCAAUGAAUCCAAAAUGAUGAAACUGAGACUUGAAAUCUGAGCAUGUUGAUGGACAAAGGCACAAGUCUAAAAUGACCAGGCAGCCAGUUGUCACAUGUCACUACUAAGCCAAAGAUCUAUACCACAAUCAUUUCUCCACUCAUGACAGAACCUGAGUGCCCUUCCCUCCGCUCUAACAAAGAUGUUCAGCGAGCUGGAGAUUUCGCCUGCCGGGCAGAGCUGGAGACCCAGAGCA